rnacentral:ncRNA from 1 species
AGGAGCCGUGCGAGAUGAAAGUCUCAUGCACGGUUUUGAAUGAGAGAAAGAAGAAUGAAAGGGGCGAUCUCGUAGUUCUUGGUCUGUGAAGAUACGUUGUUAAGUGCUCCAUUUUAU